rnacentral:rRNA from 1 species
GNCUANANANGCAGUCGAGCGGUAGAGAGAAGCUUGCUUCUCUUGAGAGCGGCGGACGGGUGAGUAAUGCCUAGGAAUCUGCCUGGUAGUGGGGGAUAACGCUCGGAAACGGACGCUAAUACCGCAUACGUCCUACGGGAGAAAGCAGGGGACCUUCGGGCCUUGCGCUAUCAGAUGAGCCUAGGUCGGAUUAGCUAGUUGGUGAGGUAAUGGCUCACCAAGGCGACGAUCCGUAACUGGUCUGAGAGGAUGAUCAGUCACACUGGAACUGAGACACGGUCCAGACUCCUACGGGAGGCAGCAGUGGGGAAUAUUGGACAAUGGGCGAAAGCCUGAUCCAGCCAUGCCGCGUGUGUGAAGAAGGUCUUCGGAUUGUAAAGCACUUUAAGUUGGGAGGAAGGGCAGUAACCUAAUACGUUAUUGUUUUGACGUUACCGACAGAAUAAGCACCGGCUAACUCUGUGCCAGCAGCCGCGGUAAUACAGAGGGUGCAAGCGUUAAUCGGAAUUACUGGGCGUAAAGCGCGCGUAGGUGGUUUGUUAAGUUGAAUGUGAAAUCCCCGGGCUCAASCUGGGAACUGCAUCCAAAACUGGCAAGCUAGAGUAGGGCAGAGGGUGGUGGAAUUUCCUGUGUNGCSGUGAANUGCNUANANNUAGNAAGGAACACCAGUGG